rnacentral:snRNA from 1 species
AUCACUGAACUGUGAUUAUCAUC